CUUGGAGGAAUGUAUAGCAAUUGCUAGUUGCACUAGAGUUUCUAGUGUGAAAUCGACUUUGUUGAAUAAAAUUCUGGAUAGAUUUUUGAUAAUGACAAUGUCUGUUUAUAAGUCUUGACCAAAUUACGUGCCAGCAGUCGCGGUAAUACGUAGAAGACAAGUGUUAUUCAUCUUUAAUAGGUUUAAAGGGUACUUAGACGGGAAAUAAAGCCUCCAAAAGGGUACUAGUUUUCUAGAGUUUUAUGUGGAGGAGUAUUAAAGUACUACUGGUGUAGAGAUAAAAUUCAGUUAUACCUUAAUGGCACAGGUUAAGGCGAAGGCAUCUUCUUAUGUAAAAACUGACGUUGAAGGACGAAGGCUUUGUGUCUCGAACAGGAUUAGAUACCCUAGUAGUCUAAGCAGAAAAUUAUGAAUGUCAUAGAUUAGAUGUAAUUUGAUCUAUAAAUGAAAGUGUAAGCAUUCCACCUCAAGAGUAAUUUGGCAACAUUGGAACUGAAAUCAUUAGACCGUUUCUGAAACCAGUAGUGAAGUAUGUUGUUUAAUUUGAUAAUCCGCAAAAAACCUUACCACUAUUUGAAUAGAUAUAUAUUAUCAUACAAGCGUUGCACGGCUGUCUUCAGUUAAUGUCGUGAGACUUUGGUUAGUUCCAUUAAAUUAACGUAAACCCUUACUCUAUUUUAAAAUAAAGUAGUUCGCCGCUAUAUUGGUUAAGAUAAUAGGGAUCAAGACAAGUCAAACAUGAC
rnacentral:rRNA from 1 species